rnacentral:sRNA from 1 species
AACCCCUGACAUUAGGCGGGGAAACAUGAUUAUGUGUCAUGUGUUUUCAGAUAGAUAGGAAAAGGAACCCCAACAUUCCAAAACCUCGGCGAAUCUUGCGCUCGGCCUGGGGCAGCAACCCCUGCUUCCGCGGCUCCUAUUCAUACACGCAGGUGGGCUCCAGCGGGGCAGAUGUGGAGAAGCUGGCCAAGCCCCUGCCGUACACGGAGAGCUCAAAGACAGCGCCCAUGCAGGUGCUGUUUUCCGGUGAGGCCACCCACCGCAAGUACUAUUCCACCACCCACGGUGCUCUGCUCUCCGGCCAGCGUGAGGCUGCCCGCCUCAUAGAGAUGUACCGAGACCUCUUCCAGCAGGGGACCUGAGGGCUGUCCUCGCUGCUGAGAAGAGCCACUAACUUGUGACCUCCAGCCUGCCCCUUGCUGCCGUGUGCUCCUGCCUUCCUGAUCCUCUGUAGAAAGGAUUUUUAAUCUUCUGUAGAGCUAGCCGCCCUGACUGCCUUCAGACCUGGCCCUGUAGCUUUUCUUUUUCUCCAGGCUGGGCCGUGAGCAGGUGGGCCGUUGAGUUACCUCUGUGCUGGAUCGUGCGCCCCCCUUGCCUACCCUCUGUCCCGCCUUGUUAUUGUAAGUGCCUUCAAUACUUUGCAUUUUGGGAUAAUAAAAAAGGCUCCCUCCCCUGCCCCUCAGCUUCUCUCUGGUUUUCUCA